GCUAAAAUAAGUAUAGUGGUUAAUGGGUUAGACUUGAAAAAUUCAUGGUAUCUAAUGCCUUCGGGCGCGCAAGUUCGAUCCUUGCCUCUGUCG